rnacentral:rRNA from 1 species
GAGUCUAGUAUGAAGAAGAAACGUAUAAAUAUUGUCUCUAACUUGCUAAUUUUAAAUUAAUAUAAAGGAUGAAAAUAUCCUUAGUUCAAAUAAUAGACGAGAAGACCCUUAGAAUUUUUAUUAAACCUUUCAUUAUAGAAAGGUCUAUUUUUGUUGGGGCAACAUUAUUUCAGGUGAAUAAAUAAGCAAUAGAAAUUUAACAUUCCGAUUUAUAUUCAAGAUUAAAUUACCUAAGGGAUAACAGCAUAAUUUACAGAUAAGUUUGUGACCUCGAUGUUGGAUA